GUUGGAUCGAUGAUGUUUAACAAUAUACUGCGUUAUCUAUCUGCAAUUUCCUUCAAGGAAUUGAAGAAGACUAUAUGUUACUGAGAUCUGAU
rfam:Morus notabilis contig15610, whole genome shotgun sequence.